GUGCUCACUUUGGCAACACAAAUACUAAAAUUGGAAUGCUACAGAGAAGAUUAGCAUGGCCCCUGUGCAAGGAUGACACACAAAUAGUGAUAUUGUCCUCCAAUUAAU
ensembl:snRNA U6 U6 spliceosomal RNA